ACAUGACCACCCAGCUGAGCCUGGCUAAGAUCAGCCAACCCUCAACUGACCUGCAGAUCUAAAAGAUUGCUGUGUAAGAAACAACAAGAAGAAGACCUCGUUCACAGGGCCUGCCCCUCCCUGUGCAGCAUUACUAAUUAGCAGGAAGGAUGACUGAGGGUAAGAAGGGAGUGGAAGACUUGGCAGGGUGAGUGAUGAGAACUAAGGGAUCCCUUAGUGCCUGCAUGUGUUUCCUGGUCAAGAGUGAAUUCUAUGAGCCUCCCAGGAUGUUUGACAUCUUGAAUUCCUUGGGAAGGAUACGUAUUAAUUGCAAAUGGCUUCUUGGUUAGAGUGAAAUAGAACUCCAGUCUACUUCUCCUCUCUCGGCGCUGGGACCUCAUCUGGCUCUAACUUGUGCAGGUCACUGGUGACUGUCAAAACAUCCAGAAAGUGAUGAGGCAGAACUCAGACACCAGGAAGGAACAACAGGAACAAAGUGAGGUUACAUAUGCAAAAUGAUUUAGAUGGCCCACAUCAGCAAUUCCUGGACAUUAUCUUUCAAAAACACCAGUCAGCAUCCCCUGGUAAUGGGCAAAGAGACUCCUUUUGGUGACUGUGGCCUUCUUUCAGUCAGGGGCAUAGCAGAUGGCCGUCCGUUGUUCAUCCUAGCUUGGUGACCAAAGCAAUCUUAUGCCUAGGCCACCAGAAAAUCAAACCAAAUCAAAUCCAAGCAGCACAGAAUGGAAGGAGGAAGACAGAACUGCAUUCUACCAUCCUAUCCAGCGCAGGUGAAGAAAGAUGCCCACAGACCUGCCCUCCACCCCCACAGCAUGAGCAGGCCAUAGACACACAGAGCCGAGACGACCACUACGUGACAUAGCAUAGGAAGAAGAAGACACAGACCUGUGGACCACCAUGCCAACCAGCUGCAUGACCAGCCUUCAGCAGGAACCACCACAGUGUGAAAGUAUUUGGUGGUGGUCAGAUAGGAGAGAAAGAGAGAUGGAGCAGCUUGAACAUUAUGAAGAGCGACAGAACUGGAGACUCAAGGGUGGAGAUGAAUCGUCUGUUGUGAGUGGACCUACAGCCAUGGUGAGGUCCCAGCCUAAGCUGCUGCUGAGGGCCAUGUCUGGGACUGUGGCUAUGCAUCAUCAGGGAUCAGUAUUGAUGUCCCCAUGAGAGGUUAUGUGGGUGUCCAGAGGAUGUACAGAACUGGCCCUGCCCCUCACUGGCUCUGGAGAGCCUCACUGGUGGUAGCACUCACUUGUAUUGCCCAGUGGGCCCUGCGCUUAGUCAGGCAGCACAUUGGAGCUGGCCCCAGUGGUGGGGGAGUGGUAGAGCAGGCCCCAACUGUGUGAAUGUGGGAGAACUAACCCCUCCAUUUGUCUGCUUAGAAUGACAUGGACACAGAGGUGAUCUGCACCCCCAACCCUGGCAAUCAAGAAAGCUGUCCCCAGGUUCUUGAGCACAAGAGAACUAGUCUUGCCCUUCAUCUGCUGAAGCACUUGGGACAGCAGACCCUGCACCUCACCUGGACAGUACAGCAGAGCUGAUGCUGGUGAUGGGGGACCAAGUGAGCUGGCCUUGAGGGUAAGAGUAUGGGAGAGCUGGCCUAGCCACUCAUCUGCCAUGAGGUAGUGUGGAUGCUCACCACCUACAGUAAUCAGUAGUAGGGAGAGCUGUCCCUGAGAGCAGGAGAGCUAGUCCCUCUCUGAGGCUACUCAGUCACUGGCUGUAGCACUUAAGAAAUUGGAAACCUCACCUGGGCAACACAGUGGAGCUUGCCCUGGUGGUGAAAGCACAGGUGAGCACCAAGGAUGAGAGAACAAGAGAGCUGAUCUAGCCUCUGGCAGGCUGCAGCAUUUGGUUAGAGUGAGUUUGACUGGACAGCACAGUGGACUGGCCCAGGAGGCACAAACACAGAUGAGCUGACCCCAAGGAUGUUACAGCAGGAACACCAACCCUGCCUCCUGCCAAUGGUGGCACUGGGUGGCCUAGCCAGAGCAGUUCUGGAAAGCUAGCCAUGAUGGUGUGGAUAAGGAAGAGCCAGUUGGAUGACCAGAUCAGCUACCACCCAAGAUAAGAUCUAGGGCUCUAAGCUGACCCACCCCAAAAUCUGUAUCAUCUGCUACUGCUUGGGACCUGUGAAAAGGCCAGUCCUGGUGACCCAAAGCUGCAGGAUCUCCAUGACACAGGGCAACACCAGGAUAACUGGGAAGAGGCCUGGGGAGGAGUCAAUACUGAUGGUGUCACAGAAGCCAGCGAUCUUGGACCAGACGAGUGAUGUACUGCAAUGAAUACUUGCAAGUGACGAUGUAUGGACAGAGAUAUAUACAUGGGUCACACUGUGAUACACUACAGCUUCCAUAAUGAAAUAUUUUCUG
rnacentral:lncRNA from 1 species